rnacentral:lncRNA from 10 species
CUUGUGCCGAUCUCCUAUCUCAUCUCAAAGACCUUGUGACCCAAGGUCUUUGUGACCUGUACCUCGUGCCAACCUCCUACCUCAUCCUGUGACAGAAUGCCUAACUUACUGGGAAUGCAGACCAGCAGGUCUCAGCCUUAUUUUACCCAGCCCCCAUUCACCAUGGAGUUGCUCUGGUUCACAUGCCACUGACGAGGUGGUCAGGGAAGGCAAUUCCUGGAAAGAAUUUUGGAGAAAAUAAUAGAAGAAAGCCAGAGCUCCAAUAAUUUACCCUCAUCUCGUGAAGAAGGCAGGGCUGAGACCCGAAAGCCCACACAGGGAAAACGACAUGCCUAAAAUUUUCUGCCUGUUGCGGACAGAUCAAAGAUUAGAACCCAAGCCGAAGAGGCCUCCAAGCCAAAGGAGGAUUUGUAAAUUCAUUCUUCCAGCUGCAUGGGAAGAGCAGGAAAGUCUAGAUUUGGGGCUUUGAGUUUCAGACCAGACCUCCUGCCUGAGUGUAACAUCUUUCAAUAAUUA